rnacentral:rRNA from 1 species
GGGCCCGCACAAGUAGUGGAGCAUGUGGUUUAAUUCGAAGAUACGCGCAGAACCUUACCAACACUUGACAUGUUCGUCGCGACUUUAAGAGAUUAAAGUUUUCGGUUCGGCCGGACGAAACACAGGUGCUGCAUGGCUGUCGUCAGCUCGUGUCGUGAGAUGUUGGUUAAGUCCCGCAACGAUGCGCAACCCUCACUUUUAGUUGCCAUCAUUUAGUUGGGCACUCUGAAAGAACUGCCAGUGAUAAGCUGGAGGAAGGUGGGGAUGACGUCAAGUCCUCAUGGCCCUUACGUGUUGGGCUACACACGUGCUACAAUGGUAGUGACAAUGGGUUAAUCCCAAAAACCUAUCUCAGUUCGG